rnacentral:rRNA from 1 species
AAACUUUCAACAACGGAUCUCUUGGUUCUCGCAUCGAUGAAGAACGCAGCGAAAUGCGAUACGUAAUACGGAAUCGCAGCUCUCGGAAUCAUCGAAUCUUUGAACGCACAUUGCACCAAGGGGUAUUCCCCUUGGUAUGCCUGUUUGAGCGAAGGAU